UCUGCCCCAGAGGCAUUGCAGGUGUGGCUGCUAUGUCAAUGUGCAUCAGCAGGUGGCAGAGAGGAGAGACGCUUAUGUCUACACUCAGUGCUCUGACCUAGGAACAUCUGAAUGAUUAGGAGCCUAAAUUU